GGCUGAAAUUGCCUACCAUGAAGUUGGAAUUGCUAGUAAUGGCAGGUCAGCAUACUGCCGUGAAUACGUUCCCGGGCCCUUGUACACACCGCCCGUCACACCAUGAGAGUUGGAGAUACCCGAAGCCUGUGAGCUAACUUUUUAAGAGGCAGCAGUCGAAGGUAGAAUCAAUGAUUGGGGUGAAGUCGUAACAAGGUACC
rnacentral:rRNA from 1 species